GGAUGAAUAUUGGUCAAUGGUCGGGAGACUGAACCAGCCAAGCCGCGUGAGGGAUGAAGGUACAGAGUAUCGUAAACCUCUUUUGUCAGGGAACAAAAGGCGCCACGCGUGGCGCUCCGAGUGUACCUGAAGAAAAAGCAUCGGCUAACUCCGUGCCAGCAGCCGCGGUAAUACGGAGGAUGCGAGCGUUAUCCGGAUUUAUUGGGUUUAAAGGGUGCGUAGGGCGGCGAGUUAAGUCAGCGGUAAAAGCCCGGGGCUCAAACCCCGGCCCGCCGUUGAAACUGGCUUGCUUGAGUUGGAGAGAAGUAGGCGGAAUGCGCGGUGUAGCGGUGAAAUGCUUAGAUAUCGCGCAGAACUCCGAUUGCGAAGGCAGCCUACCGGCUCCAGACUGACGCUGAGGCACGAAAGCGUGGGUAUCGAACAGGAUUAGAUACC
rnacentral:rRNA from 1 species